rnacentral:rRNA from 1 species
CCUACGGGUGGCAGCAGUGAGGAACAUUGGGCAAUGGCCGUAAGGCUGAACCAGCCAAGCCGCGUGAAGGAAGAAGGAUCUAUGGUUGGUAAACUUCUGUUAUAGGGGAAUAAAGGUAUCCACGUGUGGAUAUUUGCAUGUACCCUAUGAAUAAGCAUCGGCUAACUCCGUGCCAGCAGCCGCGGUAAUACGCAGGAUGCGAGCGUUAUCCGGAUUUAGUGGGUUUAAUGGGUGAGUAGGUUGUUUUUUAAGUCAGCGGUGAAAGUUUGUGGCUCAACCAUAACAUUGCCGUUGAAAAUGGAAGACUUGAGUGUGGUUGAGGUAGGCGGAAUGCGUGGUGUAGCGGUGCAAUGCAUAGAUAUCACGCAGAACUCCGAUUGCGAAGGCAGCUUACUAAGCCAUAACUGACACUGAAGCACGAAAGCGUGGGUAUCGAACAGGAUUAGAUACCCGGGUAGUC